GAAACUGGAUCCCAUGCAACAUGUCUCCCACAAAGCAUUGGGAAUGUUUUGUUCAGGUCCGGUGAAAGUUAAUUACGGUUACAGUCACACGCUCACCUCGUCAGGUGCGCCGCUUCCAGGGAAGAAGUUGCCGUCGUCAUACCGAUGAAUAGACAGGUAAAGGACGUUGGGGUCAUCGUAGAAUGCCUGCUGCGUGCCGUUGCCAUGGUGAACGUCCUGAGGUUAGAGAGGACACGCAGGAUAUCAUCACAAACUUUGCAGUGCGAUUUUUAAAAACAAAAGGAAACAAAUACUAAUGUCCAGUUUGAUGCAGACAGAACGUGGACAUUAUGUUCCCACUACGUCACAUGAUAAAGACGACCUGUUCCAACGCUGGUAUUUGUGUAUGCACAGAUGAAGUGUCUUAAGAGUGUGGUGACAGCUGUGGCCUUACAUGGGAGUGCUUUCCUCUGCGUGGUGUCCAGGAGGGCGGACCACAGCGAAACCAUUCUGGAGAGACAGACAGGAGCGACAGUUUGGAACUGAGUGGGAGUAAAGCAGGCCAAACCCUUUGUCAUAUUCAUCUUUGUUUAAAGAAGAAAAAGUGGGAGAGAAAACAUUUUGGCAAGAUUAGCUCCUCUAGCUCGAUUGUUACUGCUACCAGAUGGAGGCCGGAACCAUUACACCACUCUCUGGCCAAUUCACCUGCUUUUUGGAUGGAAGUUUCUCUUUUUACUCCCCAGUGCAUUAGGAAGGAAGUGAAAUUCAAAGCCAAAAACCUCUCAAAUGAAUGCUUACGGAAGAGCAGAGAGGAAAUAAAUACUACUGGCAGCUUGACAGCGGUUUAACAUUUUGAAAGUUAAACAUGAAUCGGUGUAACACAGCCACAGAAAACUCCAAAACUGAGCUUCAGUGAAAUAUCAAUGGAACAGGAUGGUGACGCUGACCUGUGGUGAAGCGAGUUUUGACGGGAGGAUCGGGGGCUGGGACGCUGAUUGGGAAGGAGGACGCCGAAGCUGGAGAAGACUGCGCCCUGGACAGCGGGCGGUGUCCUGGGAAGGAGAUUGACAGGCCGGCAGCCUCCAUGGAGGCCUGAUAGUUUCUCAGCUGAUGAAUCCGCUGCUGCUCCAACAACAGGGCCUGCUACUCACACACACGCAAACACAAUCAGGCGUCAUGAGAUGCCACAGGACAAAGAGCAACACUUUCACAGCCCAAAAUACAGUUCUGUGUCUGUGUUUUGGAGUUUUCUCCUCUCCAGGACUUCCCCAGGAACACCUACAACACAUCAGUGCCAAGUAGAGUCGGAAUCAAUUCUCCGAAACUUCAUAUUGAUUCUCUUAGCCUACGUUGUUUUGCAGCUGCAUACCCCAUCCUCUACCUGUCUGAAGAGCAGCUCCUGCUCCACCUGCCGCUCCCGCUCCCUCUCCCGGUGCUGCUGCAGUGCCUCCUCCUGCAGCUCCUGCGGGUCGGGGGGCUCCUGCUUGAUGGUGACCCCCGGCGGCAGAGCGCCUCCAUCCUGGUGCUCCCUCAGCUCCUCCUCCGUCUCUUCUGGGUGGCUCUGGUGCUGACGGCCCACGGGGGACUCGCUGGGCUUGGCCAUCAUCUGCGGGAAAACACGGAGAGGGAAGGGGGGGGGCAAUGUGAAAUGUAUUUCACAAUCAAACAGCAGGAUGUGACAAAUCCCCUCCAACGUGUGAGUCUGCAUUCAGACAAACGGCCACGCUCUCCUCUGAAUCAAAUUCCUGGCAAAUGGCUCCUUUCUCUGGAACA